UACGUAGGGCGCAAGCGUUGUCCGGAAUUACUGGGCGUAAAGCGUGCGCAGGCGGUUUUGUAAGACUGUCGUGAAAUCCCCGGGCUCAACCUGGGAAUGGCGAUGGUGACUGCAAGGCUAGAGUUUGGCAGAGGGGGGUAGAAUUCCACGUGUAGCAGUGAAAUGCGUAGAUAUGUGGAGGAACACCGAUGGCGAAGGCAGCCCCCUGGGUCAAAACUGACGCUCAUGCACGAAAGCGUGGGGAGCAAACAGG
rnacentral:rRNA from 1 species